CGGCUUAGCCGCGGAGGGCGGGGCGGCGGCCCGGAAAGUUCCCGGCCCCUCCCCGGUCCGGCAGGCAGAGGGAGGGGCCGGGGCUUCCGGACGGGCGCGGGGCGCCGGGGGUGACUCAGGGGGCGCUGACUCAGGGGCCGCCGCCCGCCCCGGCCGGGCGCGAGGUCACCUGUGCUCUGCUGGGUCGGGGGCUGCGAACCGCAACCGAAAGAAACCUGGGAAGAGCGGGAUUCUUCGCCCGGCCGCGCUGGGCCCAUGCAGCUCCGGCCCUGGGCGGGGGCUCCGGGGACCCUGCGGGCAUCUCGGGAAUGGCCCAGGACCCGGUUCCGCGGACCCGGGUGCGUCCACCUGCUGGGCGGCUUUUGCAGCAGCCAGGGCAGCCUGGGCCUUGGCUGGGAGUGGGAACCUGGCCGGUCCUCACCGCUUUCCAGUGACCAGGCUCUGCGUUUCCUCCCAGGGCUCCCAAAGCUCUGAGACAUUGCCACAACACCGAAGCCCGGCUGUGAAACAACCCUGACUCUACCGCAGGCUCCGGGUCCCUCGGCGGAAAGGCCGCCUUCAUAGCCACAGAAAAAGUUGUAAGGUCCAGGCGCGGAGCCCAGCCGGCGAUCGCAAAUGGAACGGUUGGCUGGGGCGCAGCGCAUGGAAAUGCCAGUUGGGACCCGCGGCUCUGCCAACAGCGGCGGAUCCGACUGAGAAGCUCGAACUGGUCCAGCACUCAGGAGGCUGAGACAGGAGGAUUGCCAUGUGUUUGAGGCCAGCCUGGGCUACAUAGCAAGACCUUGUCUAAAGAAAACAGAAAACAACAACAACACACAACAGAAACCCCAAAAGUGAUGGUGCUGAAUCUUCUUGGAGAGAGGAUCUCAUAGGCACUGGACAGAACCCGUGGAGUCCGGACAGGUCCACACUCCAGGGAGCCGGACGCUCACAACCCCUGAACUCUUGUGUCUCUUAGAACCCAGUACCGUGAGGGUGCACAGCGGGCCCCAACACGCCAUCGAAUGGUUGUGGCCGCAAACUGGUAAGGCCGUUGUCACACCGCAGUGUCAAACCCUGCAACGCACGGAAGGUGCUCACUGCGUUCAGCAAACCCCACAAAGGUCUGCAUGGCAGGGAUUUGGUCGGCUUUUGCUGGCUGGGAGGACAACUCAGGGCCUGUACACAGCGGCCACCCCUAAUGUGUCGCAACCCGCGCUGGCUGCAGGCCCACCAGGCCUGGCGGUGUCCCGUUGCCAGCUGCUGGGGGGCGCUCUUCCUGCGCUCUUGAACAUCCCAUGCCUGAGGAAGGGCAGCCAUGGCUCUGAGAGAACAGUGGAAGGAUGGCGCCCGUUAGGCGCUCAUACUAGCAGGCCUGUUAGACUCUCUCGGAUUUCUCAUUGCACUUUGAAAACAGAACCCACGAAUCAUGCACGGCCCAUGCCAACAGGGAGCUGCGGAGCAGCCACCCUGAACCCUGGCUCCAGCUGCCUCUGACAGUGGCUCGCGGGCACGGACUCCGCAGCAAGCUCCUACCUUGGAAAACCGCAAUCAGCCCACCGAUCAAUAAAAACCUUCAAGUGGAUUAGGUCAAAAGAGCAAUAAAUCCUCUGCUUUCAGCAAAUAUUACUGAUCCCAGCCAUGCCUGCCCUGGAAGGAGUGGGGUAGACAAGGAGGCCGUGGACAGAUGGUGUCAGAAAACCGAGGAUCUGAACAAACCGCUCCCGAGGCACCGGAUGUCCCAAGCCUGCGGGACAUUCCUGGCCACCUUCCGUCCUAAGGCAGAAAACCUGGAUGCAUUCUGACCCUUUGUGCCUCACUUCUGAGGAAAAUAACCUUUCUGUCCUCUGUCUCCUUUGCUUAAUCCUAAGAAUAAUGGGAAAAGGAUAAAAACCCACACCAGCCUAGAAGUGUGGUCACCAGGCGAGAUGACCACAGCCUGGUGGCCAGGCACACUGGGCCCGCAGAGCUGAGUGGAUAAAGGUUAGGACAGGGCAGUAGGGCAGGGACACGUCCAGGGGGAGGGGCAUUCCCAGUACAGUGAAUGACACUAUCACCCAGUGCACAGAGCCAAUCAGAUGCUGUUUUGGACCAAUCAGAAUCUUGCUAUUUUCAAUCCCUCAUUUGAAUCUGCUGCUGUUCACAGGACCAGUCAGAAGAUGCUCUUCGCAAUCCUUCAUUUGCAUGUGGGCACAGCCAAUCAAGACUCUGCUCCUGAUCCUUCAUUUACAUAAGGCAAAAACCAGAGGCAUUUUGGGAUAGGACAGUUCAUUCCCAGGGAGUGUUUGAUAGGACGACUAUUCUAAUGCCUUCUUUACAUGAAGAGAGAGAGAUAAUGCAGGAAUUCCAGAUGCAAAAGACCUUUCCCCCUCCCGAAGGCUGCUGUGAGUGUAUUUUUCUGCCUUCAAUAAAUGUACACUCUUGCUGCCUUUUCUGAGUGUCUUGUUCAGGUCACCAAGAACCUGGAAAGAAGCCCCACGGGACCCUCCAUCCACUAACAUUUCGGACAGGAACUCCCAGGUGCUGGUCACCUCUGGAUGGUGGACUUGGUUUGAUAGCACCCACUCAGCGCUCGCCUCCCCCGGCCAGGCUGGGCCCUGGAGGCCAGGCAUCGCACCUGGGUGGGACAGUUGGCUGUGAAACUGAAGUGAGCAGGACCAUCUUCGCUGGCCUGGGGCUGUGAUACCCUUCACUGCUACUGACCCCCUCUGGGCCCACAUUAAAGUCCACCGUUCUGAGCUGGACAGCGGGAAUGAGCCCCUGUGCUGCAGAAGGGCCUGAGGGUCAGAGCUCAGGAGAUCCCAUUGCUUUCUUCCAUGUUUUGUUUCAGAAUGAACGUGCUCUUUGUGGUUGUUUCAUGAGGUUCAAGAAACUCCACAACCCAUUUGGCCACCCACUGAUCUUUUAGGGAAAGACCCCCCUAGAAGGAUUGGUCCAAGGGUUUAUUAAUUUGGAAGGAAGGCUAAUAAAGCGGAAAAGGAUUAUUUUGCUCCAGCCCAGCACUGUUUUAUUUAGAGCUGUACAGAGAGUGUUUCUGAUGCUGUGAUUUGUGCUGGCACUUUGCUUGGUGUCACAGCUAAAGUAGAUCAGGGCAUUGCUAUAGUGGAAAAACUCUUUAACUUCUCUAUUUUAUUAAGUCUUACAUUAUGUGAUGAUUCUUUAAACAUCCCCAAAAGUUUUGAGGUCCUUAAAAACAAACACUGGGAACAGUAAGGUGGCUUUAAUCAAGACAAGAAACUAGAGAGUAAAAUGGUAACUAAACAUUAACUUUGCAUAUUGCUGUAGUUUGGAUGUUAAAUAUCCCCCAAAGCCCAAGUGUUGAAGGCUCAGUCCCCAGCCUGCAGUGCAAUUGAGAAGUGGUGAGACCUUUAAGGGCAGGGCCUAGUGAAAGGGAGUUAGGUCAUUGGGGUAUGGCCUUGAAGGGACCUGAGCUCCGCCCCUUCCUGCUCCUUUCUGUCUGCUUCCUAGCUGCCAUGAUGUGAGCAGCUUUGCGCUUCCCCACACUCCUGUCAGGAGGAGCCACUUCACCCUAGGCCCCGAAUCCAGGGCCCCACUGCCUGUGUACUGAAACUUGUGACAGUGGGAGCUCCAAUUCUCCUUUAAGCUUGAUUGUCACAGGUGUUUGUUGCAGUGAGAGAAAGCUGACCUACCCUAGAUAUUGAUUUUGCAUGGAUUAAUCACAUCAGAUGAAAUGCAGAAUUCUGAUAGGAACUUGAGAAAGGGUGAGCAUGAAGGCCAUGUCUAGAAGUUGGCCUGGUUUGGAGUCUGACAGCUGAGACUUUGGUUUUAAGUGUCCCAGUGAGAGGCCUUCUCUCUGCCUGCUGGCACCUGCUGCUCUUACUCGACCCCUGCAUGGGGGCACAGGGCAGCUCAAGGAGGACAGUCACUUUGGUGGCUCCUUGGAUUCGGCUGAGGAACAAGCUCACCCCUCAGCCACCAUGAAGCCGGCACUGAGGGGUCUUAUUUGCCAAAAGAGGCCUCGUUAGUAAGUGGUUUUGGUUGUGUUUUUAAGCUCUAUUUGCCAACUAUAGGGAUUAACUUUAAUUAGUUUUACAAAACUUAAAGGGUUUUAAAAAACUUUUCAAAUAACUUGAGGAAAAUAAUAUACUGUUACUUCUCAUGGGAUUAAUUUCCUGAAAGGCUCCCUGCUCGGGCUUAGACAUAGAUUUUCUGCUCCCCAUGCUUCUCCGCCCUCCAGACCUCUCAAGGUCAUUUCCACAGAAAUGCUUGGUUAAUUAGGGGUUCUAGUGACUGAGGAGAUACGAAUAGAAAACUUGGUUGAAAAUGAGGAAGUUGUGUUGUAUGCCUGUAUCAGUUUUGGCAAAAUGGAUAUCACUAUUCUGUAAUACGAACAUGCACUUAAAAAAAAUAAAGAAUGGAGGCCCCGGGGAUUUAGCUCAGUGGUUCCAGCACCUGCCUUGCAAACACAAGGUCCCGAGUUCGAUCCCUGGUACCAAAAAAAAAAAAGAAUGGAGAAGUUAGGUGUGGUGGCACACCUGUAAUUCCAGCACUGGGGAGGCUGAGGCAGCAGGGUCCCUGUGAGUUUGAGGCCAGGCUGGGUUCAAGACCAGUGAGUCCAAGACGAGCUUGGAAUACAUAGCAAGACUUUCUCUCAAAAAACCAAACAAAACCAAAAACAAAAACAAAACCAACAGCAAAACAAAAUGAACUCCAUCAGAAAAACGCAAUCAGAAAUAGACUCAAUCAAACAAAACUCAGAAAUUUCUUUUCUUUCUUCUCUUCCUCCCCCCCCUUUUCCCUCCUCCCAUUUCUCCUUCUUUGAGACAGAUUCUCACUGUGUAGUUCAGGCUGGCCUUGAACUCACUAUGUAUACCAGGCUGGGCUCAGACUCACAGCAGUCCUCCUGCCUCAGCCUCCCAAGUGAUGAGAUUAUCCACCACAACCACCCCUGGCAUUAAUUUUUAAAAAAUACAUAAUUUGGAAUUUACUACUACUUUUUUGGCUUAAAGAAGAGUUUAUUUAUUGGUGACUAUAACCUACAUCUAUAUCCUGCCGAAAAAGUUUACACACUUCAGCAGUUUGUGGUACUAAUAAAAGCCUGGAAGCUCAGGCCCACCACUGAGUACCUUGUGUGAUUGUAGAGGCCGAAGGUAACUUGCGUUAAUCUCAUGAUGUCUUGAUAAAUUCAGUAUUAAAAUAUUUGUAGAAGUUUUUCUUUUUCUGGUGCACACUUUUUCUGGCAGACUACGUAUGAUGAUGCACAUGUAUCUGUGAUUACCGUACAUAUAUAUGUGAAUACUCAGCUGAGGGUUUUAGCUUUAUUUUCCUGAACACUGUUGGGGAAAUUGAGACUGUGAGAGAUUCUUACUUGAAGAGCCUGUUUUGUGCUCUUGGCUCUUAACUACCCCUUGGCGCUGCUGUAUUUAAUUCAUUUAACCUUCAAGGCCCCAGGGUCACCUGGCCUCGACCAAGUUCUACUGUUUCUGCCUGAAGGAAAGGAAGAGGGAGGGAGGAUCUCAUUUUGAGACCCGGAAGUUUGAUACUUGGCUUCCAAGUUGCGUUUGGUGCCUAGAUAUCCACCAGCAAGCGCUUAACGCGACACAGGACCGCCUGGGCCAUUUGUAGACUGGUGCGUGCUAGUUGCUGUCACUCACGUCCCACGGUCGGAUGGCGACAGCAGCACCCAUCUGCCCUGCGGUCUCCUGCUGUGUGCAAACAAGGCCGGGUGCCCUUGCGGUGGGGGCCUGCUCUCUCAAGCUGUGUCCCUCCAGAGGAGCCAGGGAGCCACAGAUGUGAAACAGCAGCCCCAGGCAGAGCCGUGGCAUCCGAUGUGUCCCGGACGGGGUCCUCACCCGAGGAGGAGCCGCAUGGAGAGGGCCCAACUCGGGAACGAAAGCACUGGAGUGGCGGUGGCCCCUUCCUCCGCUGUGGGCCGUGAACUGCAGGCUUCCAGGCCGCGCGAGACAGAGGCCCGCUUUCAUCUGCUGAACACGCUGCGCCCACUCCGCUGCGGGCUCUGAGCUCCGGAGUGC
rnacentral:lncRNA from 1 species